rnacentral:rRNA from 1 species
UCGGAAUUACUGGGCGUAAAGCGCGCGUAGGCGGUUAGUUUAAGUGAGGUGUGAAAUACCCCUGGGCUCAACCUAGGAACUGCAUUUCAAACUGGAUAACUUGAGUAUGUCAGAGGGUAUUGGAAUUUCCCCGUGUAGCAGUGAAAUGCGUAGAUAUGGGAAGGAACAUCAGUGGCGAAGGCGAAUACCUGGGAUAAUACUGACGCUGAGGUGCGAAAGCGUGGGGGAGCAAACGGGGAUUAGAUACCCCUGGUAG